rnacentral:rRNA from 1 species
GAUGAACGCUGGCGGCGUGCCUAAUACAUGCAAGUCGAGCGAACGGACGAGAAGCUUGCUUCUCUGAUGUUAGCGGCGGACGGGUGAGUAACACGUGGAUAACCUACCUAUAAGACUGGGAUAACUUCGGGAAACCGGAGCUAAUACCGGAUAAUAUUUUGAACCGCAUGGUUCAAAAGUGAAAGACGGUCUUGCUGUCACUUAUAGAUGGAUCCGCGCUGCAUUAGCUAGUUGGUAAGGUAACGGCUUACCAAGGCAACGAUGCAUAGCCGACCUGAGAGGGUGAUCGGCCACACUGGAACUGAGACACGGUCCAGACUCCUACGGGAGGCAGCAGUAGGGAAUCUUCCGCAAUGGGCGAAAGCCUGACGGAGCAACGCCGCGUGAGUGAUGAAGGUCUUCGGAUCGUAAAACUCUGUUAUUAGGGAAGAACAUAUGUGUAAGUAACUGUGCACAUCUUGACGGUACCUAAUCAGAAAGCCACGGCUAACUACGUGCCAGCAGCCGCGGUAAUACGUAGGUGGCAAGCGUUAUCCGGAAUUAUUGGGCGUAAAGCGCGCGUAGGCGGUUUUUUAAGUCUGAUGUGAAAGCCCACGGCUCAACCGUGGAGGGUCAUUGGAAACUGGAAAACUUGAGUGCAGAAGAGGAAAGUGGAAUUCCAUGUGUAGCGGUGAAAUGCGUAGAGAUAUGGAGGAACACCAGUGGCGAAGGCGACUUUCUGGUCUGUAACUGACGCUGAUGUGCGAAAGCGUGGGGAUCAAACAGGAUUAGAUACCCUGGUAGUCCACGCCGUAAACGAUGAGUGCUAAGUGUUAGGGGGUUUCCGCCCCUUAGUGCUGCAGCUAACGCAUUAAGCACUCCGCCUGGGGAGUACGACCGCAAGGUUGAAACUCAAAGGAAUUGACGGGGACCCGCACAAGCGGUGGAGCAUGUGGUUUAAUUCGAAGCAACGCGAAGAACCUUACCAAAUCUUGACAUCCUUUGACAACUCUAGAGAUAGAGCCUUCCCCUUCGGGGGGCAAAGUGACAGGUGGUGCAUGGUUGUCGUCAGCUCGUGUCGUGAGAUGUUGGGUUAAGUCCCGCAACGAGCGCAACCCUUAAGCUUAGUUGCCAUCAUUAAGUUGGGCACUCUAAGUUGACUGCCGGUGACAAACCGGAGGAAGGUGGGGAUGACGUCAAAUCAUCAUGCCCCUUAUGAUUUGGGCUACACACGUGCUACAAUGGACAAUACAAAGGGCAGCGAAACCGCGAGGUCAAGCAAAUCCCAUAAAGUUGUUCUCAGUUCGGAUUGUAGUCUGCAACUCGACUACAUGAAGCUGGAAUCGCUAGUAAUCGUAGAUCAGCAUGCUACGGUGAAUACGUUCCCGGGUCUUGUACACACCGCCCGUCACACCACGAGAGUUUGUAACACCCGAAGCCGGUGGAGUAACCUUUUAGGAGCUAGCCGUCGAAGGUGGGACAAAUGAUUGGGGUGAAGUCGUAACAAGGUAGCCGUAUCGGAAGG